UACCCCACCAGCUAGCCCAGCCCCCAAAAAACAACACCCACCUAUUAAUACUCCAACAUACCCCCCCCCACCAAACCAUUUUCCCACCUUAGUAUGGGAGACAGAAAAGGCACAUAUGAAGCAAUAGAAAAAGUACCGCAAGGGAAAGCUGAAAAAGAAAUGAAACAAACCACAAAGGGAGAAAAAGCAGAGAUUAGCCCUCGUACCUUUUGCAUCAUGAAUUAACCAGCAAUCUUCAAGCAAAGCGCACUUUAGUUUGAAACCCCGAAACUAAGUGAGCUACUCCAAGGCAGCCUAAUAUAUAGGGCAAAUCCGUCUCUGUGGCAAAAGAGUGGAAAGACCUUUGAGUAGAGGUGACAGACCUACCGAACUUAGUAAUAGCUGGUUGCCUAAAAAUUGAAUAAAAGUUCAGCCUUUUGACUCCUUUAACCCACCUGGCACGCGCCUAACCCAGAUAUUAGAAAUCAAAAGAGUUAGUCGAAGGGGGUACAGCCCCCUCGAACCAAGACACAACUUUGCCAGAAGGUAAAAGAUCAUAUCACCCCAGACUCUGUGUCCCAGUGGGCCUGAAAGCAGCCAUCUGAUUAGAAAGCGUUUAAGCUCAAACACUCAUCAAUCACCUAUCAAGACAAAAUAUCUUAAACCCCUAAACCUAUUAGGCCUCUCCAUGCCCACAUGGAAGCGACUCUGCUAGUAUUAGUAAUAAGAAGGCCUAGACCUUCUCCUGGCACCAGUGUACAUCAGAACGAACCCCCACUGAAAAUUAACGUCCCCAAGUAAAGAGGGAAAUGAACAAGACACAAUCGCCCAGAAAAAUGUCCAACUAAUAAACGUUAACCCCACACAGGUGUGCCCAAGGAAAGACUAAAAGGAAGAGAAGGAAUUCGGCAAACACCAGCCCCGCCUGUUUACCAAAAACAUCGCCUCUUGCACCUAGAGUAUAAGAGGUCAUGCCUGCCCCGUGACUUUAAGUUUAACGGCCGCGGUAUUUUAACCGUGCAAAGGUAGCGCAAUCACUUGUCUCUUAAAUAGAGACCUGUAUGAACGGCACAACGAGGGCUAAACUGUCUCCUCUCCCCAGUCAAUGAAAUUGAUCUACCCGUGCAGAAGCGGGGAUAAAACCGUAAGACGAGAAGACCCUAUGGAGCUUUCAGAUAAAGGACAGAUUAUGUUAAACAACCCCAGACAAGAAAUUAAACUAAAUAACCCCUGUCCCCAUCUUUGGUUGGGGCGACCGCGGGGAAACAACUAACCCCCACGUGGAACAAGUAUUCCCACACUCCUAAAGCUAGAGCCACAGCUCUAACACACAGAACAUCUGACCAUACAAGAUCCGGCAUUGCCGAUCAACGAACCAAGUUACCCUAGGGAUAACAGCGCAAUCCCCUCCUAGAGCCCUUAUCGACAAGGGGGUUUACGACCUCGAUGUUGGAUCAGGACACCCUAAUGGUGCAACCGUUAUUAAGGGUUCGUUUGUUCAACGAUUAAAGUCCUACGUGAUCUGAGUUCAGACCGGAGAAAUCCAGGUCAGUUUCUAUCUACGAGAUGUUCUUUUCUAGUACGAAAGGACCGAAAGAGAAGGCCCCUGCUUAAAACAAGCCCUAUCCAAACCUAAUGAAGACAACUAAAAUAGAUAAAAGGACAUAUUCCUUUAACCUAAGAGAAAGGUUU
rnacentral:rRNA from 1 species